UGAGGAAUAUUGCCCAAUGGACGCAAGUCUGAGGCAGCGACGCCGCGUGGGUGAAGAAGGCCUUCGGGUUGUAAAGCUCUUUCGGCAGGAACGAAACGGCGGGCUCUAACAUAGCCUGUUAAUGACGGUACCUGCAGAAGAAGCACCGGCUAACUACGUGCCAGCAGCCGCGGUAAUACGUAGGGUGCGAGCGUUAAUCGGAAUUACCGGGCGUAAAGCGUGCGCAGGCGGAUUGUUAAGCAAGACGUGAAAUCCCCGGGCUUAACCUGGGAAUGGCGUUUUGAACUGGCAGUCUAGAGUGCGUCAGAGGGGGGUGGAAUUCCACGUGUAGCAGUGAAAUGCGUAGAGAUGUGGAGGAACACCGAUGGCGAAGGCAGCCCCCUGGGAUGACACUGACGCUCAUGUACGAAAGCGUGGGUAGCAAACA
rnacentral:rRNA from 1 species